rnacentral:rRNA from 1 species
CCCGGGCGCACGGUGACACAUCAACCGGCUAGGGUUCUGCCGGGGUCCGACCCAGCCUCGCAGUCGCAGGUAGGGCUGCAGGCUCCCCCUCGCUGCCGCGGCGCCUAUCCCCCGCCGCCGCCGUCGUCGUCGCCGCCAGCUGCAGCUCUCCGCCCGCGACGUCUAUCCCGGUCCGUCUCCGCCCCGCGCGCUCGCCGGUCGGUCCGCACCCUGCGCCAAACUACUUGUCGACCUCUCAGGUUCUUUAGAAGAAAAGAGGAAAAUCAUACAUGGAUAUCAUGCAGACAAGUGAUUCUUCCCAAUAUGGAGUUGUAGAAAACAGCCCAUAUAGAUUUCCCUAUAAUAAACGUGUGGAAGAUGGCAACCUUGGUGCUUCGUGGUAUUUUAGUAGAAAAGAAAUAGAGGAGAAUUCCCUUUCAAGAAGAGAUGGCAUUAGUCUGAAGAAGGAGUCUUUCCUUCGCAAGUCAUACUGCACUUUUCUUCAAGAUCUGGGAGUGAGGCUUAAAGUGCCUCCAGUGACAAUUGCUACAGCUAUUGUAUUCUGUCAUCGUUUUUUCCUUCGACAAUCUCAUGCCAAAAAUGAUAGACUGACAGCAGCCACAGUUUGCAUGUUCUUGGCGGGUAAAGUUGAAGAAACACCCAUACCCCUGAAGGAUGUCAUACUAAUUUCUUAUGAGAUCAUCCACAAAAAGGAUCCUGGUGCUGUUGCUCGAAUUAAGCAAAAGGAAGUCUAUGAACAACAGAAGAAACUUCUUUUAAUUGGGGAGCGUGCUGUGCUUGUAACACUUGAUUUUGACUUCAAUGUGCAUCACCCAUACAAGCCCUUGGUUGAAGCAAUAAAAAAACUCAAGAUUGCUCAAAAGGAACUUGCUCAAGUUGCCUGGAGUUUUGUCAAUGAUGGGCUGUGUACAUCUCUUUGCCUGCAAUUUAAGCCCCAACAUAUUGCGGCCGGCGCAAUCUUCCUUGCUGCAAAGUUCCUUAAAGUCAAGCUUCCAGCAGAUGGUGAGAAGGUCUGGUGGCAAGAUUUUGAUGUAACCCCGUGGCAGUUGGAAGAGGUUAGCAACCAAAUGAUGGAGCUCUAUGGGCCACCACCGUCUCAAGGGAAUGAUACUAAAAGCAGCUCUGCAGGUUUAGCCAAUCAACAUGCCCUGGAGAAAGCUCCUGGAGCUGCUGAGGAGCCUCCUGCGCAUAAAAAUCAUUCAGCAUCCAGACAACCGAGCUUGCCAGACUGCCAUGGGCAUAGCCAGCAUAACCCUGAAAGGCAAGGCUCAAACCAGAGGAUAGCACAAACCGAAGAGAGGGAUGGCACUGCCACUAGCAAUGAAGGCCUCAAUACGUCGCCAUCAGCGAUGGAUGCAGUGGAAAAGAUAAACAAGGAUCAUCAGAACGUCGCUCACACGGCAGAGGACACCGAGGAGGGCGGGCUGUGCCAUUCUCUCGAGCCCGGCAAUCCAAAGCGGAAGGAGCACAGGAGCCACGAUCACAGCGGCGAGAGGGACCUUAAGAGGUUGAGGUCAUAAAAGGAAGUAUUCAUAACCACCCUGGGUAGAAUGAUCGGCAGAGUGGCAUUGGGCUAAUGCAACAACCAGGGUGAAAACCUAUUUGUUUUUUCUCUGUUGCAGGAGCUGCUAUCUCGGUCCUUGCUGGUCAUGUCGGGAGUUUUGAACCGUGAUUCGAGAAUAUGGUUUCCUAUACAGACACAGUGCGUGCAUGUUCGUGUGUUGAUGUGGAAACGUUGGGCGGCUGGUCCGUGAUGCGAGAAUUAUGCAGGCCUGAGAAACAUUAGUCAUACACAAUAGUGUGUUGUGCAGGUUCGAUGC